CCUACGAGGGGCUGCAGUGGGGAAUAUUGGACAAUGGGGGGAACCCUGAUCCAGCCAUGCCGCGUGUGUGAAGAAGGCCCUCGGGUUGUAAAGCACUUUCAGUGAGGAAGAACGCCUGGUGGUUAAUACCCAUCAGGAAAGACAUCACUCACAGAAGAAGCACCGGCUAACUCCGUGCCAGCAGCCGCGGUAAUACGGAGGGUGCGAGCGUUAAUCGGAAUUACUGGGCGUAAAGCGCGCGUAGGUGGCUUGAUAAGCCGGUUGUGAAAGCCCCGGGCUCAACCUGGGAACGGCAUCCGGAACUGUCAAGCUAGAGUGCAGGAGAGGAAGGUAGAAUUCCCGGUGUAGCGGUGAAAUGCGUAGAGAUCGGGAGGAAUACCAGUGGCGAAGGCGGCCUUCUGGACUGACACUGACACUGAGGUGCGAAAGCGUGGGUAGCAAACAGGAUUAGAUACCCCGGUAGUC
rnacentral:rRNA from 1 species